rnacentral:rRNA from 1 species
GUGGGGAAUCUUCCGCAAUGGACGAAAGUCUGACGGAGCAACGCCGCGUGAGUGAUGGAGGUCUUCGGAUUGUAAAGCUCUGUUAAUCGGGACGAAAGAGCCUAGUGUGAAUAAUGCUAGGAAGUGACGGUACCGGAAUAGAAAGCCACGGCUAACUACGUGCCAGCAGCCGCGGUAAUACGUAGGUGGCAAGCGUUGUCCGGAAUUAUUGGGCGUAAAGCGCGCGCAGGCGGAUCUGCCAGUCUGUCUUAAAAGUUCGGGGCUUAACCCCGUGAUGGGAUGGAAACUACAGAUCUAGAGUAUCGGAGAGGAAAGUGGAAUUCCUAGUGUAGCGGUGAAAUGCGUAGAUAUUAGGAAGAACACCAGUGGCGAAGGCGACUUUCUGGACGAAAACUGACGCUGAGGCGCGAAAGCCAGGGGAGCGAACGGGAUUAGAUACCCCAGUAGUCC